GGAUGUGAGGGCGAUCUGGCUGCGACAUCUGUCACCCCAUUGAUCGCCAGGGUUGAUUCGGCUGAUCUGGCUGGCUAGGCGGGUGUCCCCUUCCUCCCUCACCGCUCCAUGUGCGUCCCUCCCGAAGCUGCGCGCUUGGUCGAAGAGGACGACCAUCCCCGAUAGAGGAGGACCGUUCUUCGGUCAAGGGUAUACGAGUAGCUGCGCUCCCCUGCUAGAACCUCCAAACAAGCUCUCAAGAGGAACAGAAUAAUCUAAAUAAACUCCUCUCACACACACAAAAUAAAAAUUACAAGAGGAAAUAGUGAUUU
rnacentral:snRNA from 1 species